rnacentral:rRNA from 1 species
CCCGCACAAGCGGUGGAGCAUUGUGGUUUAAUUCGAUGCAACGCGAAGAACCUUUACCUGGUCUUGACAUCCACGGAAGUUUUCAGAGAUGAGAAUGUGCCUUCGGGAACCGUGAGACAGGUGCUGCAUGGCUGUCGUCAGCUCGUGUUGUGAAAUGUUGGGUUAAGUCCCGCAACGAGCGCAACCCUUAUCCCUUGUUGCCAGCGGUCCGGCCGGGAACUCAAAGGAGACUGCCAGUGAUAAACUGGAGGAAGGUGGGAUGACGUCAAGUCAUCAUGGCCCUUACGACCAGGGCUACACACGUGCUACAAUGGCGCAUACAAAGAGAAGCGACCUCGCGAGAGCAAGCGGACCUCAUAAAGUGCGUCGUAGUCCGGAUUGGAGUCUGCAACUCGACUCCAUGAAGUCGGAAUCGCUAGUAAUCGUGGAUCAGAAUGCCACGGUGAAUACGUUCCCGGGCCUU